GGUGCUCGCUUUGGCAACAUAUACUAAAAUUGAAAUGAUACAAAGAAGAUUAGCAGGGCCCCUGCAUGAGGAUGAUACACAAAUUGUUGAAGUGUUCCAUAUUUUU
rnacentral:snRNA from 1 species